UUUUUAAUAUAGUGGCAAUGUUGUAGCCUGUGAGGUUGAACUGAGACACAAUCAUUGCUAGUUGAAAACUUUGACAUCUGUUGAUCUUGGACCACUGUUUACAAUAAACUUUAGUUU
rnacentral:snRNA from 1 species